rnacentral:lncRNA from 1 species
UCUCUCUUAACGCAUGGUAGCAUAACGUGCAUCGUCCAUGGAAAAGAGAGCUCGGAUGCACUCACAAAAGGCAAAAAUGACACAGGAAUCAACUGCUUGUUGGAGUCCUAAAGGGUUGUUUGCUCAUUGAAGUGGAAAUGAAUGCAAAACUACCCGAUAAGGUGUUUAUUAAGAAUGAGAAAAGAUUAGUGAUGGAGGAAAAAGUACUGUAUGAUUGGAAAACACACCCUUUGUAAGUGUUGCCAGAAGUAUGGCAUAAAGAAC